AACGAACGCUGGCGGCAGGCCUAACACGUGCAAGUCGAACGGACCCUUCGGGGUUAGUGGCGCACGGGUGAGUAACACGUGGGAAUAUGCCCUUAGGUAAGGGACAACAGAUGGAAACGGCUGCUAAUACCGUCUGAUAUCGAGAGAUCAAAGAUUUAUCGCCUAAGGAUUAGCCCGCGUUAGAUUAGGUAGUUGGUGGGGUAAGAGCCUACCAAGCCUACGAUCUAUAGCUUGUCUCAGAGGAUGAUCAGCCACACUUGAACUGAGACACGGUCCAGACUCCUACGGGAGGCAGCAGUGAGGAAUAUUGGACAAUGGGCGAAAGCCUGAUCCAGCCAUGCCGCGUGAAUGUUGAAGGCCUUAGGGUUGUAAAGUUCUUUUAGUAGUGAAGAUGAUGACGGUAACUACAGAAAAAGCCCCGGCUAACUCCGUGCCAGCCGCCGCUGUAACAC
rnacentral:rRNA from 1 species